rnacentral:rRNA from 1 species
UCAUUUGGUCAUACCAUUCAGAAUUCACCCAAUCUCACCUGAUCUUGGGAGCUAAGCAGAGUUGGGCUCAAUUAGUAUUUGGAUAGAAGACGCUUGGAAUACCAAAUGCU